AGUAAAUUGGUUAAGUUAGAAAGGGCGCACGGUGGAUGCCUUGGCACUAGGAGCCGAAGAAGGACGGGACUAACACCGAUAUGCUUUGGGGAGCUGUACGUAAGCGUUGAUCCAGAGAUUUCCGAAUGGGGGAACCCACUAUCUUUAGUCGGAUAGUAUCCUUACGUGAAUACAUAGCGUGAGGAAGGCAGACCCAGGGAACUGAAACAUCUAAGUACCUGGAGGAAGAGAAAGAAAAAUCGAUUUCCUGAGUAGCGGCGAGCGAAACGGAAAGAGCCCAAACCAAGAAGCUUGCUUCUUGGGGUUGUAGGACACUCUAUACGGAGUUACAAAAGAAAGUUAUAAAUGAAGCGGUCUGGAAAGGCCCGCCAAAGACGGUAACAGCCCGGUAGUUGAAAUGGCUUUCCCUCCAGAGUGGAUCCUGAGUACGGCGGAACACGUGAAAUUCCGUCGGAAUCCGGGAGGACCAUCUCCCAAGGCUAAAUACUCCCUAGUGACCGAUAGUGAACCAGUACCGUGAGGGAAAGGUGAAAAGCACCCCGGAAGGGGAGUGAAACAGUUC
rnacentral:rRNA from 1 species